AGAAUCUAUUUAGCUAGUUUUUUUACUUGCUUUUUUAGGUGAGUAAAAGAUUUUUCAAAUAAAAGUCAUAAAAUUAAAUAAGAUGAUACGAUCAAAAUGGUAUCUGAAGAAAGCCCAUCUUGUCCUGAAAAAAACAAUAUAUAACUUAUGUGGGUUCACUAAAUGGGUGAGGAGAAAAUUACAGCUGAACACAAGCACCACAAAAGUAUUAAAACAGCCUCGGUCC